GAAUUGACGGGGGCCCGCACAAGCGGUGGAGCAUGUGGUUUAAUUCGAUGCAACGCGAAGAACCUUACCUGGUCUUGACAUCCACGGAAGUUUUCAGAGAUGAGAAUGUGCCUUCGGGAACCGUGAGACAGGUGCUGCAUGGCUGUCGUCAGCUCGUGUUGUGAAAUGUUGGGUUAAGUCCCGCAACGAGCGCAACCCUUAUCCUUUGUUGCCAGCGGUCCGGCCGGGAACUCAAAGGAGACUGCCAGUGAUAAACUGGAGGAAGGUGGGGAUGACGUCAAGUCAUCAUGGCCCUUACGACCAGGGCUACACACGUGCUACAAUGGCGCAUACAAAGAGAAGCGACCUCGCGAGAGCAAGCGGACCUCAUAAAGUGCGUCGUAGUCCGGAUUGGAGUCUGCAACUCGACUCCAUGAAGUCGGAAUCGCUAGUAAUCGUGGAUCAGAAUGCCACGGUGAAUACGUUCCCGGGCCUUGUACACACCGCCCGUCACACCAUGGGAGUGGGUUGCAAAAGAAGUAGGUAGCUUAACCUUCGGGAGGGCGCUUACCACUUUGUGAUUCAUGACUGGGGUGAAGUCGUAACAAGGUAACCGUAGGGGAACCUGCGGUUGGAUCAC
rnacentral:rRNA from 3 species